rnacentral:piRNA from 1 species
UGAAAGAGUGUGCACUCACCUGGGCCAGG